rnacentral:rRNA from 1 species
AACUACAUCUAGCCCACCCCCCCCCAUCACUACUACUAUAAGCCAAUCAAAUAAAACAUUUACCAUACGUCUAAAGUAUAGGAGAUAGAAAUUUAACUACCAGUGGCGCCAUAGAGAAAGUACCGUAAGGGAAAGAUGAAAGAAUUGUUAAAAGUAGAAAAAAGCAAAGUUUACCCCUUGUACCUUUUGCAUAAUGAUUUAACUAGUAAUAAUUUAGCAAAGAGACCUUAAGUUAAAUUACCCGAAACCAGACGAGCUACUUAUGAGCAGUAAUUAGAACAAACUCAUCUAUGUGGCAAAAUAGUGAGAAGACUUGUAAGUAGAGGUGAAAAGCCUAACGAGCCUGGUGAUAGCUGGUUGUCCAAGAAAGGAAUUUCAGUUCAACAUUAAACAAUACUAAAAACCACAUUAAGUUUCAACGUAUGUUUAACUGUUAGUCUAAAAAGGUACAGCUUUUUAGAAACGGAUACAACCUUUACUAGAGAGUAACAUAAAACUUAAACCAUAGUUGGCCUAAAAGCAGCCACCAAUUAAGAAAGCGUUCAAGCUCAACAACAAAAACAAGUUUUAAUUUCAACAAUAAAUAAAACAACUCCUAGCCUGACUAUUGGACUAAUCUAUUCAACUAUAGAAGAAAUACUGUUAAUAUGAGUAACAAGAAAAAUUUUCUCCUCGCACAAGCCUAUAUCAGUAACUGAUA